ACGAACGCUGGCGGCAGGCUUAACACAUGCAAGUCGCACGCCCCGCAAGGGGAGUGGCAGACGGGUGAGUAACGCGUGGGAACAUACCCUUUUCUACGGAAUAGCUCUGGGAAACUGGAAUUAAUACCGUAUACGCCCUACGGGGGAAAGAUUUAUCGGGGAAGGAUUGGCCCGCGUUGGAUUAGCUAGUUGGUGGGGUAAAGGCCUACCAAGGCGACGAUCCAUAGCUGGUCUGAGAGGAUGAUCAGCCACAUUGGGACUGAGACACGGCCCAAACUCCUACGGGAGGCAGCAGUGGGGAAUAUUGGACAAUGGGCGCAAGCCUGAUCCAGCCAUGCCGCGUGAGUGAUGAAGGCCUUAGGGUUGUAAAGCUCUUUCACCGAUGAAGAUAAUGACGGUAGUCGGAGAAGAAGCCCCGGCUAACUUCGUG
rnacentral:rRNA from 1 species